rnacentral:rRNA from 1 species
UACGUAGGGUGCAAGCGUUGUCCGGAAUUAUUGGGCGUAAAGAGCUCGUAGGCGGUUUGUCGCGUCUGCUGUGAAAACCCGAGGCUCAACCUCGGGCCUGCAGUGGGUACGGGCAGACUAGAGUGCGGUAGGGGAGAUUGGAAUUCCUGGUGUAGCGGUGGAAUGCGCAGAUAUCAGGAGGAACACCGAUGGCGAAGGCGGUUCUCUGGGCAUUACCUGACGCUGAGGAGCGAAAGUGUGGGGAGCGAACAGG